rnacentral:rRNA from 1 species
UUGCUUUCUCGAGCGAGUGGCGAACGGGUGAGUAACGCGUGAGGAACCUGCCUUUCAGAGGGGGACAACAGUUGGAAACGACUGCUAAUACCGCAUGACACAUCGGAGUCGCAUGGCUCUGAUGUCAAAGAUUUAUCGCUGAAAGAUGGCCUCGCGUCUGAUUAGCUAGUUGGUGAGGUAACGGCCCACCAAGGCGACGAUCAGUAGCCGGACUGAGAGGUUGAACGGCCACAUUGGGACUGAGAUACGGCCCAGACUCC